rnacentral:rRNA from 1 species
UACGGAGGGAGCAAGCGUUACUCGGAAUUAUUGGGCGUAAAGGGCGCGUAGGCGAUUUGAAAAGUCUUGUGUGAAAGCCCCGGGCUUAACCCGGGAAGUGCACAAGAAACUGUUGAAUUUGAGUUCCGGAGAGGAAGGCAGAAUUCCCGGUGUAGCGGUGAAAUGCGUAGAUAUCGGGAGGAAUACCAGUGGCGAAGGCGGCCUUCUGGACGGGAUACUGACGCUGAGGCGCGAAAGCCAGGGGAGCAAAGCGGG